UACGUAGGGUGCGAGCGUUAAUCGGAAUUACUGGGCGUAAAGCGUGCGCAGGCGGUUCGCUAAGACCGAUGUGAAAUCCCCGGGCUUAACCUGGGAACUGCAUUGGUGACUGGCGGGCUAGAGUAUGGCAGAGGGGGGUAGAAUUCCGACGUGUAGCAGUGAAAUGCGUAGAGAUGUGGAGGAAUACCGAUGGCGAAGGCAGCCCCCUGGGAUAACACUGACGCUCAUGCACGAAAGCGUGGGGAGCAAACAGG
rnacentral:rRNA from 1 species